CAAAGAUCCCUGGCAAGCUGAAGGCUGAACAGCCUGGAAAGUGAGCAUGUGGAUAAAAACACAGCUUUGGGGGGAGGGCUUUUAAUGAACUUUUUGAGGGUAAUGUAGUGCUGCUCUACCUAACUGAAGGUAUUUGCAUAGCUGAGAUCCGCCUGGUUAUUUAUUGCAUUUUGGCUGUCUGGAUGUGUUGCCUGUUUUUGUUUGGUAGUUGCUAAUGUUCCUGAUCUCAACUGCAGAACAUAUUUAUGGUUCAGGCAAGCUGCCCAAGAGACAGCCCUAAGGAAAUAGCUUGCCCCGAAACAAUGGCGUUCUGCAUCUUGUCCGGAACAUGUCUGACAGCACGGAGUGUGCUUGGGGCUGGUGGUGGGGCUCAUCCUGGAGGUGCGGUCACAGCUUGACACGGCUGCAAAGGGCAGCUGUCUGCACCUGGGGGAGAUGGGUUCUGUUUUGCCUCUUCCAUCCAUCCCAGUGUGGCGCAAGACUUCACGUGGCUGUGACAGCGUGGGGUUAAGGUGAAGGAGAAAGGUGUGCCUGGAGUUGCUGCUCCUUACCCAUUGCCUGACUAACAGAUCAGGGUCAGUGUUUCUUGAAAAAGCUGAAAAAAAAUCAAGAAAAGCACCAAGAAGAAUAAACCUAAUGCAACCAAUCCCCUCUGAGGCCUCAGUUUUAUUUCUUCAUUUCCAUCACAGAUAUGGGUUCUUUCAUAUUUGGAAAGGAAAUUUGGUGUUCAUCUCCCUCCUCUGAGCUCACACGGCCAUUUUUGAUUAUUUAUUAAAACAGUUUAAUUGCUCUAAAAAAGAAAAUAUAUUUUUUUUCCGUAAGAAAUAUAAAUAAAACAUUGUUCAGAGUGAUGUGGUAACAGAGUGUUACGGUGUAACCUCCAAACCCCACACUCAAGGCGUCUUCACUGUCGCUGCAUGUUCUGCCCCUACAGUUUGUUCUGAGAUUGGCUUAACGCAUUCUCAAUGGUUCUGCCUUGAUGCCCAAUGGUAUGCAGACCUGCAUGGUGGUACACCUGUGGAAGACUGUAGAAAAAACAAGAUGUGGAAUCUUAUUUGAGAGCUGAAUGUGAUCACGAGAUCACUGUGCAAUGUUUCAGUCUUCUAGUGGAAAUAACAGGAGACAUUUUGCCACCAACUUCAACCAGAGCACAAGGCUCAUGACGAGCACGCAAGAGUAAGCAAUGUCCUUUUGUCCUCAGCUCCACCACUGCCCACUGUAGUUUGGUCCCUUCCUCUUCUCGUUUUAUUCAAGAUACAUCAAGGACUCAAUGAUCCUCAUUGGGUCCCUUCCAACUUGAGUUAUUCUAAGAUGUAGACACUGAGUUUGUCCUCCUCCUUAGACCCCUGGGCCAGAGAUUGUCAUAUGGCUCUAUACAUAGAGCAGCCUAGCAUUGAUGUGUCCUGACCCUGGAGAGGUUUGCAGAGUGUUAUUGCAGGGCAAAUAAAUAACCCAUAACCUAGAACUUCUCUAAGAGGAGAGCAAAGCAGGAGAGCUCUGUUGGCCUGCAUGAAUGCUGCAAAUGUUGCGGUGCUGGAAUCCACCGAGAUCCCUCUGAGUGCUGGGCGUGCCCACAACUCGGAAUGAAUAAUCCCCUUAUUGCUUAUUUGGAUACUCUGGGAUGUGCAAUGCAAACAAGAAAAGCCAAGCGUUUCAUCCUCCAGGGUUCUCCUGGCCAGCUCCAGUGCUCAGAGCUGAGUGAGCCACAAGCAGACAGUGCUCAUCCAUGGAACCCAGAGCCCUGUGCAGCAUGGCUGGGAGCUGGGAGCCAAGGGACCUGAGCUACAGCACGCAGCUCUGAGCGCUCAGUCAGCGUGGAUUUGGUUGCUUCUGUCUGUGCAUCCCUCCGGCACACCCUACCCACUGCUUCCAGCCCCAUUCCUCCACGUGUGCCAACCAUGUCCCAGGCUGCACAGCUUGCAGCUCGCGGGAAGUCUCCCAUUUACCAAAAUGGUAAUAUUUGAGCCAUUACGAACAUUUUUCGCAAUUAAAGCUGCCACACAGUUUAGUCAAAGACAUGAUUGUGCUGUUUGCUGCUGUCUCCGAUUAGGAAUUUAGUUGCCUAAAACUUUCCGUGCUGUCCAGCAGAGCGCAAUGGGCUGUUGACGGCUAUGUGCUAUUUUUUCAGCGGCACUGGGAGAGAAAUGGGUUUGUUAGAAUAUUUUCACAGUGAAUUGCAAAUGAUCCCAUGCAGCUAUUCUUUUCUUCUCUGCAAAUAUUUUCCAUCUCUGGUCUCCAAACAGUUAAAUGAAAGACAGUCAGUAACAUGGAGAGCUCUUUAAUCCUAGGAUAGGCAAUUGCAAACAGAAUAGAGGACAUCAACCUCCUUUUAUUUCCCAUUUAGGACCUGGAGGUGAAGAAGCCAAUAUUCCUCCGUGUGAUGCAUCUAGCUGAGCAGAUGCUGAAUCGCACAUGUUCAUUUUAGUCCACUCUGCCAGUGUAUGGAGAGCAGAAGUACUGACACUCCAGAGCAAGGCUCUCGGCCCCUCCAAACUCAUAAACUUGGGUUUCAGCCUCAAGAGCGCCUGUGCCCGUCCCGCUGGGGUCAGCCUUUGCACCACGGGAGUGACCCGGUGCUGGAGGGCUUCGUCAGAAAGAUCCACUCCGGCUCCCUCCUGCCCUUCGCAGCGAGUUUGCAGCGGUCCCCGAGCCGCAGGGCUCAGCGCUGGGGUCCCUGCCCGCUGCGCGCCCGUUG
ensembl:lncRNA